rnacentral:rRNA from 1 species
UACGGAGGGAGCUAGCGUUGUUCGGAAUCACUGGGCGUAAAGCGCACGUAGGCGGCUACUCCAGUCAGAGGUGAAAGCCCGGGGCUCAACCCCGGAACUGCCUUUGAAACUAGGUAGCUAGAAUCUUGGAGAGGCGAGUGGAAUUCCGAGUGUAGAGGUGAAAUUCGUAGAUAUUCGGAAGAACACCAGUGGCGAAGGCGACUCGCUGGACAAGUAUUGACGCUGAGGUGCGAAAGCGUGGGGAGCAAACAGG